GACGAACGCUGGCGGCGUGCCUAAUACAUGCAAGUAGAACGCUGAAGCUUGGUGCUUGCACCGAGCGGAUGAGUUGCGAACGGGUGAGUAACGCGUAGGUAACCUGCCUGGUAGCGGGGGAUAACUAUUGGAAACGAUAGCUAAUACCGCAUAAGAGUAGAUGUUGCAUGACAUUUGCUUAAAAGGUGCAAUUGCAUCACUACCAGAUGGACCUGCGUUGUAUUAGCUAGUUGGUGAGGUAACGGCUCACCAAGGCAACGAUACAUAGCCGACCUGAGAGGGGGACGGGCCCACCGGGAACGGGACCCCGGCCCGGACUCCUAGGGGGGGAGGCGGAGGGGAUUUUUCGGAAAUGAACGGAGUCUGACCGAGCAACGCCGCGUGAGUGAAGAAGGUUUUCGGAUCGUAAAGCUCUGUUGUAAGAGAAGAACGAGUGUGAGAGUGGAAAGUUCACACUGUGACGGUAUCUUACCAGAAAGGGACGGCUAACUACGUG
rnacentral:rRNA from 1 species